rnacentral:lncRNA from 1 species
UGGAAAGCCCCUGGAGCACAGGGAUGGGAUCAGAAGGCAGAGGUAAGGGAAGGGCACUUGGUGGGCUUUAUUGUGUCCCAGGACUGCAUCCUAUUUCCUACACUAAAGGAACACAUCGUGUUGGGUUUUCUCCAACAAGCAGGAUAUUGUUUAAGUCCUUUUUGAACAAAGUAUUAUCAACUUUAUUUGGGGUUUUUUGUUCUGCAUUUAAUUGGGAGCAGCAGCAAAGUUCAGAGUGCCAUAGGCAGAUGUUACAGGGACACGAAAGUACAAGAUAAGGUGCUUCCUACCACAGGAAGGCUAUUUUAAUAGUUGGUUUUUAGGCUGAUAUUUAUGAAGGAAGGAAAGUCAAAGGCAACAAUAAUUAAUGUCAUCAUUAUGGUGCUGAUUUGCAAAGAAACAUAGUAGGCUUAGGAACUCAGCCAUUUCAGCUUUUUAGAAGACUUCAACACCAGAUCAGGCAGCAACUGAAAGACAAUAAGCAUCAAAAUCUAGGUGUUACUCUAUUACAUUUAUAUAAGUAUAUAGAUUUCAGAUGGAAAAGAGCAUUAACAAAAGGGAAAGUAAAUUUACAGGUCUCACCAUCUUCCCUCAUUAAUGGUUCUCAGCCAAACAUGCUGAGCUUUGUGACUUUUUGUUUAUCAUUAAAACACAAUUUUUGUUAUUUGCUGAAUGGUUAAAAUUUAUUUUCCUGAUAAUUUGGGGAGGUAGCUGUUUAUCAUAUGGAAUGAUGAACAGAAGCUGCAAAAGUAUUUUCAAAUGGGUUUGCUUGCAGCCCUAUAGAGCAGAGCUCUAUGAGUUUAUUUGCAUCGUCAGGAGAAUCUAAACUAAUUUAAUUCAUGGUAGGGAGCAUAUGUUAAUGACUUCUCUGGGUGGAGGAAGGUAGUGCACACCUCUCUUCUAACUCAGUGGUCCUGAUCUACAAGCAGGCCAAUAGAUCAAAACCACAUGGUAUCUCAUGGGCUGGAUGCAACUGGGUUCUCAACAUCUGAAAGGGAUGGCGAAAUAAAUUACACAGAUCCCUGUGCAAGUCUGAUCAAGCUCUCAAAGAACAGCCUUGCCAAAGAACUGCCUGCCUACCUAUGUCCUCAUUCCACGAUCCAGGUGACUUUUGUUCCACGGAGCCACACCUCAGCCUCUCACCUCACCGGGAGAGAAAACCUCCCAGACGUCUCAGUUUUGCAACCGAGCAGUUGUGCCCUUGUCGUGCUUCCAGCAUUUCCUCACAGCCCGCACUCAGAAACGAGGGCUGCGAGUCCCAGCCUCAGCAGGAACGUCUCCCCCAUCAUUAAAUAAUUGAGCUGCUCCUGCAAUCUGGAGCCCGGCAGCCCGAGACGCUACCUCAUAGCUGCUGGGUCGCUGGCACAGGUUUGACAAAACCCUUCAGGGAUGGCUACUGCAGGGAGGCUCUUUCCUGGCAGGUCCCAGCUUGGUUUGUUGGGUCAGUGGGGAGACAGACAGGGCUCGCCACGCCAGGCCCGUGCCAAGCCACGCUGGCCAAAAUUGGCUGAGCCCUGGCUGUACCUUCCAGAAGUACUGAAGAAGGGGUUUUGGUCCUUGGUUGAGGAAAGGAAGGAAAUUUAGGUAUCAGAGUCCUUGGGAGAUGCUGUUUUGCUGCCCUCUAGGCAAAGAUUAAAGCUUGAAAUGUGGAAACUACAGAAAAUGCUGUCCUGAGCACACCAAAGCAAAGCAAAGGGUUGGGAAGGUGGAAAGGCUUUUCGUGGGACUUCAUUAAGGUGUGAGUAUGAAAUCUGUAAAAAGAUCUCUGGCCUCAGAUAAGGGAGAUCCAGUGGUGUACAACAAAGAAUUAUCAGUAAAGGCAUCAUAAUUACAAAGUUCUUUUAUAUUAAAAUGAUGUCAUGUAAUAGGUUGAAGAACAAGAAAUAAAUAAGCUGUGCAGAUCUCCUUUAUCUAAAUA